AGUGAACGCUGGCGGUAGGCCUAACACAUGCAAGUCGAACGGCAGCACAGUAAGAGCUUGCUCUUACGGGUGGCGAGUGGCGGACGGGUGAGGAAUACAUCGGAAUCUACUUUUUCGUGGGGGAUAACGUAGGGAAACUUACGCUAAUACCGCAUACGACCUACGGGUGAAAGCAGGGGAUCUUCGGACCUUGCGCGAUUGAAUGAGCCGAUGUCGGAUUAGCUAGUUGGCGGGGUAAAGGCCCACCAAGGCGACGAUCCGUAGCUGGUCUGAGAGGAUGAUCAGCCACACUGGAACUGAGAAACGGUCCAGACUCCUACGGGAGGCAGCAGUGGGGAAUAUUGGACAAUGGGCGCAAGCCUGAUCCAGCCAUACCGCGUGGGUGAAGAGGGCCUUCGGGUUGUAAAGCCCUUUUGUUGGGAAAGAAAAGCAGCAGGUUAAUACCCCGCUGUUCUGACGGUACCCAAAGAAUAAGCACCGGCUAACUUCGUG
rnacentral:rRNA from 1 species